AUUGAACGCUGGCGGCAGGCCUAACACAUGCAAGUCGAGCGGAUGAAGGGAGCUUGCUCCUGGAUUCAGCGGCGGACGGGUGAGUAAUGCCUAGGAAUCUGCCUGGUAGUGGGGGAUAACGUCCGGAAACGGGCGCUAAUACCGCAUACGUCCUGAGGGAGAAAGAGGGGGAUCUUCGGACCUCACGCUAUCAGAUGAGCCUAGGUCGGAUUAGCUAGUUGGUGGGGUAAAGGCCUACCAAGGCGACGAUCCGUAACUGGUCUGAGAGGAUGAUCAGUCACACUGGAACUGAGACACGGUCCAGACUCCUACGGGAGGCAGCAGUGGGGAAUAUUGGACAAUGGGCGAAAGCCUGAUCCAGCCAUGCCGCGUGUGUGAAGAAGGUCUUCGGAUUGUAAAGCACUUUAGGUUGGGAGGAAGGGCAGUGAGUUAAUACCUUGCUGUUUUGACGUUACCAACAGAAUAAGCACCGGCUAACUUCGUG
rnacentral:rRNA from 1 species